rnacentral:rRNA from 1 species
UACGUAGGGGGCAAGCGUUGUCCGGAUUUAUUGGGCGUAAAGAGCGUGUAGGCGGCCACACAGGUCUGCUGUGAAAACUCGAGGCUCAACCUCGAGCUGUCGGUGGAAACCGUGUGGCUAGAGUCCGGAAGAGGAGAGUGGAAUUCCCGGGUGUAGCGGUGAAAUGCGCAGAUAUCGGGAAGAACACCCGUGGCGAAGGCGGCUCUCUGGGACGGUACUGACGCUGAGACGGCGAAAGCGUGGGGAGCGAACAGGA